GCCCUCGUCAUUUAUCACGGAUUUUAAACUCCUGCGCUUAAAGUCACGUUCCCUAUUAACAAUAAUGUCCACCAGGCAGUAGUGGCCUGUGCCUUUAAUCCCAGCACCUGGGAGGCAGAGGCAGGCGGAUCUCUGUGAGUUCCAGGCCAGCCUGGUCUACAGAGUGAGUUCCAGGACAGCCAGGGCUACACAGAGAAACCCUGUCUUGAAAAACAAAAAGUCCAAAAGUCAGUAGUUAGUGCCAUCUCCUCGCCCCCCAGCUGGUGAUUGUUGGGAUGAAGGAAGAUCAAUUCACCUUCUCCCCAGAGGAUACGCUCCCACGCUGGAGGCCACACAGGAGAGCUGCUGGGCAAGCCUGUUGUGGGGACCCAGACUUGGGCAGCAAGGUGACAGUGGUAGAGAUGGUGGGGGAGCUAAAGGAGAGUAACCCUAGAGACUCAGCAGCUCCGCCCUGCGCAUUUCCUUCUUGUUCUGUCUCUCCCCACGGGCAGACUAGCCCUGGGUAAACGGAAAGAGAGAAGUGGUCAGUGUGACAUCCUUCAGAGAGCCCGGGUCUCGUCUCGAGCCUUAGGACUGAUCUCUUCCUGGUUCCAUCGCUCACUGUUGAUCUGGGGGAACACCCUAUUCAGAUCAGUAUGGUGGGGGUGGGGGUUAGAUGAAGGUGAAGCCACAGAAGGAGCUUAGCAGGUAUGAGGAGGGGGUCAGGGGUCUGUCUCUGAAAGGCCAGGCCGGCUGUGCCAGCCCGGUGAUCAGCUUAAAAUGAUGAUCCGGAUUCACCCUCAUAAUCCCAGGGUUUAGGACUCAGCCUCACCCCCAAUCCCAUCCCAGGAGAUCAUCCCUUCUGAGGGCUGAUGCAGCCAUUUAUCCCCCUCAUUUUUAAGUGCUCAGAGUAACCAUCAAAGCAUUUUAAAAAUGAGUGUUUGCUACAUGCAGAGAGUGAAGCCCAAAGACUAAUGCAUCCCAGGCUUUUCGUACCUUUUCAUUGUCCUUGUGGUACAGGGGAUUGAACUGAGGGCCUCGUGCAUGGUAGGCAAGCGCUCUGCCACCUAGCUACAUCCCUAGCCAUCUUUAAAUUUUAUUUUGAAACAAAUUAGGUAUAUACUAUUUAUAUGUAAAAUAUUUCAAUACAAAAUAUUAUGUUAUAUAUUUUUGGUUUUUUGAGACAGGGUUUCUCUGUGUAGCCUUGGCUGCCCUGGACUCUCUUUGUAGACCAGGCUGGCCUUGAACUCACAGAGAUCCGCCUCAUAGAGAUCCGCCUGCCUCUGCCUCCCCAAGUGCUGGGAUUAUAGGCGUGUGCCACCACACCUGGCUCAAAUUUUAUAUUUUUUAUUAAUUCUUUGAGAAUUUCAUACAAGGCAUGUUGAGUCUUUUCACCUUUGCCAACUCUCCCAUAUCCACCCUCUACACCCUCUCCUGGCUAAGCACGACCCCCAGCUUUGAGUUGUCUUCCUGUAUUUCUUUUAUUUUUCAGUUGAGGCCAGUUUGUACUGUGCUUCUGCCCUGGGGAGCAGCGUCUGCCCUGUAGGGUGGCCCGCCGACCAGGGGGUAUGAUCACUCCGGAAAACAGCAGAAAUUUUUAAAUUGACUUAUUUGAUUGUGUGUGGGCAUUUUUGCCUGAAUUCGUGUCUGUGCACCACAUGUGUGGAGUGGCCACUGAGGCUGGAAGAGGGCAUUGGACCCCUGGAAGGAGAGUUGCAGAUGGUGGUGAGCUGCCCUGUGGGUUCUGAGUUUGAAUCCAGGUCCUCUGGAGAGCACACACUCCCUCCCUCUUGUACAAUGCACGUGGCCACCCAGUUCCUUCACCUUGGACACACACACACCCUCCUCACACACUGCACCUCACGACCGUGGGCCUCAGCCAGGCUGCACGCACACCGCCACUCUUUGAACAAUGCUUUAAGUUUCUUCACCUCUAACAACUGUCAGGUUGUUUAUUCAAAUGUAUUCCCAAAGGGACUGCAGAGCUGCCUCAGCUGUUAAAGGCCAGGCUUAUGAUAGUAAGAGUUUUUAAAAAAGACAAGUAUAUUCCCAACACAUCUGAGUAGAAAAAAGAGAAAGGCGGAUCCAACCUGAAAUGGUUUGGGGGUGUGUGCCACACUCAGGUAAAACUGUAUCCUUGAGUAAACUUUUUACAGAGAAUCCCUUAUUUGUUAGCUUAUGUAUAACUGAUUAAAAUCAAGUGAAUUAUGGGAAGGGGUAUGUGAAAAAUAAUAAUGUGACCCAAUCUGUUAAUCAAAACAGAGAGCUGCUCUUAAUUGUGCACUUCAGUGACCAAAGUCCUUCCUUGAACCCCAUAAGAGGAAGCCUCAAGUCAUAAUUGGGGCCUUGGACAGUUUCUCCCUCCUGUGGACCACUGAUCCCUUUUGGUGUUUUUCUUUCUGCUCUAUACCGUUGGCUUUGCUUUUGGAUAACGUUCCCUUGCUACUUUGCAAAUCUGUGCCAGCCCUUAUUUGAAUUAGGAGCCUGGAACCUGGAAAAACCCAACCCUGACCACCAGGAACAAUCCCAUGGUUUGAAGCCUGUACUCUCUAUGUACAUAUUCACAAAAGUAUGUGAUUUUUACGAAAUUAUUCAUUAUGUAUACAGUGUCCUGCUUGCACACCAGAAGAGGGCACCAGAUCUCAUUUAGAUGGUUGUGAGCCACCAUGUGGUUGCUGGGAAUUGAACUCAGGACCUCUGGAAGAUCAAGCAGUGCUCUUAACCUCUGAGCCAUCUCUCCAGCCCAAAAUUAUGUAAUGUUAAUGUGUGUGCUUUAGACAUCUGUCUAAAUAACGUUCCUUAUCCCCCUUUGUGUGCAAGCCUUAAAGUUUUAGGUAUCCAUGGUUUUACAUAGCUCUGUUUUCCUCUAGUGGGCAUCUGGGCUGCUUGCGGUUUUCUGUAAUAAAGUAAAAGCUGCAACUGGCCAUUCUAUAAAUGCCUUCUUGGCAUGCAUGUGGCUGGGUCCCAAGAGCAGAUAACUAGAAGGGAAUUUCUGGGUCAUGAAAUAGGUGCCUCUAGAUUUUACUAAUUGUUGCCAAAAUGCUUUGUGCCAAUUGAAAUGCCAUUCUUUUGGGAUUUAUUUACCUUCUUUAUUUCCCAGCCACCACUGAUAUGGACGCUGCUCCUGCUGGUCUCCUCGGACACCCUUCUUCAGCUCUCUUCUCCCCUGCCCCCUUUCUUGAGACAGGGUCUCACUGUGUAGCUCUGCGCCUGUGCAGCUCAUUGGCUGGCCCAGAGCCUGCUGUGCAGACCAAGCUGGCCUCAAAUUUACCAAGAUCUGUCUGCCGCUGCCUCCCACGUGCCGGGAUUAGAGAAUGGGCCGCCACGCCCAGCCGUUUUUUUGUGAUCUUCGAGUCUUCAGUCAGCACGCUUUUCUAGCAAACAGAAGUGGCCAGACCGUGCCAGCGCUUUCCAGUCUCCACAUUUCAACAUGGCAUUUCGGCUUCACGUUGUUUCUAACACACACAUUCAUGUCACCAUCAUCAUCUCAUGUCGUCACCAUCAUCUCGUGUAGUCACCAUCACGUGUAGUCACCAUCACGUGUAGUCACCAUCAUCAUCUCUUGUCGUCACCAUCACGUGUAGUCACCAUCAUCAUCUCUUGUCGUCACCAUCAGCACGGUUCAGCGUUUUGUUUUGUUAUCUUUGAGAUGGGUCUUAUGUGUCUCAGAAUGGACCGGAGCCCUAAGAAUGACCUUGAACGUCUCCAUCUCCACGUGCUGGGGUUACAGGUGUGUGCCGCUACCCUUCCUUUAUGGGAACAGAACCCGGACUUCCUGCAACUAGGUCCGUAAUCUUUUUCCUCUCUGUCUCUACCAACUGAACUACAUUGCCAGAGCUGACCAACGUACUUAUAAAUGUCUCUGUUCACUAUUUCUGCUGGCAUUACACUCUUUCCUUUUUAUGAAAUAUAUCUAUCUGCAGCAUGUCAGUGAAAGUCGUCGGUUGGUGACUAUUCUUGGUCUUUCUUGAAAUGCUGUAUUUUAUUUUCUACUCCUUAAGUGGACAUGAGGUGGAGUCUUGGGUUUCAUUGCUGUGGAGAGACGCCAGGACUGAGGCAGCCCGUCUAAGGCUAACAUUUACUUGGGGCUGGCUUACAGUUCAGAGGUUUAGUCCAUGGUCGUCACGGCGGGAGCAUGGCAGCACACAGGCCGGCCUGGUGCUGGAGCAGGAGCUGAGAGUUCUGGAUCAGCAAGCGCAGGAAGCCAGGAAGAGGCUCUCCUUCCACACUGGGCGGAGCGUGAGCAGGGAGACCUCCAAGCCCACCCCGCCAGCGACACCCUUCCUGUAACAAGGCCACACCCACUCCAGCUAGGCCACACCUCCUAAGAGUGGGCAUAAAUUUUUUCUUGGACUUUUUGUUUCGCUGUUUGUUUAGUUUUGAAACAAAGUCUCCCUUUGUAGGUCACACUGUCCCGGGGCGGGCUCUGUAGUCCAGGCUGGCCCUAAACUCUGGGGCUGGCUCUGCGGGUGGAGUACACUGAGCUGAGCUCUGCCUUUGGAGCGCCCCCACCCGCGUCCACUUAAAAAGCCAGGCAUGGCAGCCUGCAGCCCUAACUCCAGCCCUGGGAGACGGGGACAGCAGAACCCCGGGUGCUACCCCGCCAGUCCAGCCAAAACUGCAAGCUCCGGGCUCAGUGAAAGAUACUGAGCGUUGAGGAAAACACCUGACAAACACCACCUCCUUUACACACACACCGCCUCCUUUACACACACACCGCGACCUACCGCUGGAACAACCAGGUGCUUUCCCUUCUGGCUGGCUUUAAGAUCCUUCUUUCAGAGCUGGAGAAAUGCUCAGAGGUUAAGAGGACCUGAGUUCAGUUCCCAGCACAACACGGUGGAUUCCAACCAUCUAUAGUGGGAUCUCAAAGCAGGCAGAACACUGUCUACAUAGUAAAUAAAUCUGAAAAAAAGAAGAAAUAAGGUCUUUCUUUCUCUUCGUUUCUAUAGUUUUACCACCCAAGUGAGUUCAGAAUUUUUCAACCUGAGGACUUACCUUUGAGUCUGAAAAAUUCUCAGGAUCAUUUUUUUUUUUUUAAAUAUUACAUUUCUCUUACCUCUUACUUGCUCAACCAUUUAGCAGGUCUCAUUCUCCCUUAAGUCUUCUUCAUUUAUUUGUAUUUAUUAUUAUCAUUUAUGCAGUGUUCUGCCUGCAUGAGCAGGCCAGAAGAGGACACCAGCUCUCACUAUAGAUGGUUGGGAGCCACCGUGUGGUUGCUGGGAGUUGAACUCAGGGCCUUUGGAAGCGCAGCCAGUGCUCUUAACCUCUGAGCCGUCUCUCCAGUCCCAUCCCUUGAGUUUUUUAACUAUCCUUUCAUGUUUCCUACUUUACUUUCUUGUUUCUUUUUAACUAUCCUUUCAUGUUUCCUACUUUACUUUACUUUACUUGCUCACAUUUCUGAAUGAUUUUUAUUAACUCUAUCUUCCAGUUCACAAAUUCUCUCUAACCUGUUUGGCGCAUUGUUCCAUGCCCCCACCCCAUUUUUUGACAGGCCUGAAGCGCCUCCUGUAGCUGCUGUGACCUUGAAUGUCCCUUGUUUCCACUUCCUGAUGCUGAGAUUACAGACGUGCGCCCUCCGUGGCUCUACGUGUGCCAGGCAAGCACUCUAACUGAGCUUCAGUCCUGGCCCUCUUUCAGACGGGUAGAGGGACACACACAGAGGGUGAGGGUACUCUGCCUGGGCGGUCCCCAGUAAGCAGGCGGCGCACAGAGGUUACGGCGAAGGACGGGCUGCAGGUGCUGCGAGGUAUUGGGUUGUCUGACAGCUUUUCUGUUAUUUCUAAUUUAUUACUUGACAUUUCUCUACACGUAUCCAAUAUGUCUGGAUCAUAUACUCCCCCACACAUCCCCACAACAUGCCCCCGCCUUCGUGUCUUUUACAUUUUUUUAUACCUCACCGUGUUGAAUUAGUGUUGCCGGUGUAUGCUCAGGUGUGAGCCUGCACUGGCAAAUGGGCAGCCCACCAGGGGCUCCCAGCCAGACUCCCCUUCCCCAGGAGCCAGCCGCUCCUCAGCUAGGUGUGGGGCCGGGCGAGCAACCACCCAAACGCCUGUGUCAGUGCCUGGGGUAGUCCAGUCUGUAGGGAAAGAGGCAGCUGGCUGCAUCCUAGCGUGACCAGUGUGUUCUGUACUUGUUUAGAAAAAGUAGGAGAGACUGGGAAAUCCUACACAAAUCACCGUAUUUUGUUGACUUCUUCAGUAGGUUUCUCUCUACUCUUCACCCUCUCCAUCCUCCUCUCUUUUUCCCUCUUUUAUUUCUCUUUCUUUCUUUUUAGUGAAAUCCACCCCCCCACACACACACCCUGGUUUACUGACACAUUGCUAUAGGAUCUUUCUUGCUUCUGUGUAGUUAGGUGGCAUUUGUAGGAAUUUCAAGAUUUAGGAACCAGGUUCUCAUGUUGUUCUUUUGAGAGGUUCCAGCACCAGCAGGCUUCCCUCAUCCACCCUGAAGGACGCCCAGAGACCACACCUGUCCAGCUGAACCAUGCAGAAACAACAGGAUAUACAGAGUAAGGUAUAUGUAGGCUGAGAGACAGCUGGCCAUCAGAUCCUUUACCCAGACCUCUGGCAAGAACAGAAAGUGUAUGUGGCAGCUAGCCAAGGGGAAAACAGAAAAGGACAAAUAGGGCUCGUCCGGGAUUUGAACCCGGGACCUCUCGCACCCUAAGCGAGAAUCAUACCCCUAGACCAACGAGCCACUGGUAGUUUCCCCUGGCCAGAUGUGUCCUGCCUACCACAUUAUUAGCUGCAGUUGUGGUUCCUAGGAACCGCUUUUCUGCUGUUCCUCUCAGGCUGGCUCCCGGCCCAGGCAGGCAGCUCUCCAGCAGGCCUGGUUCCUGGGCUCUCUCCUGCCCUCCUCAGCCACUAGGCCACUCCUCCACACAGGGCUUCAAUCCGAGGCUCCAGAGGCUGAUGCCAGCAUGGACUACACAGCAAGGUUCAGGCCACGUGGGCCUACACAGUGAGACCCUGUCUCAGGGAGAAGAGGAGGAGGAAAUAGUUAAUAAAUACUAGAAUACAAGAGCCAACUCUGAGUGACUAUAACCCUAAGACGUAGAAUCAGGUUAUCCCAAAUAUUUUCCAGAGUGGUGACAGUUUCACGGUUAUAGAAUAAGAGUGCCAUAAUCAGAGUCCUUUUCAAGGCUGGACUGUCAGGUAGGGGGUCAGAACAAGCAGGGAUCUCUGCUGUGGUUCCAGCUGCUGUAUGACAACAUUCUUAGUUUCUGGAUGGGGGGGCUGGUGGUCAGCUAAUACACCCCAAAAUGUUCCUCGGGAGAGCCACAAAGACACCAGGUCCCACACAGAGGUGAGCAACAAAUGGCUAUUCCUGUGGACGGAGACAGCCCAAGAUGGCUUCGCUCCAGAUCUGCAGCACUUCACAAUGACUAAAUUCUUAGUCCAGUGCUCUCCCAGCUGAGCUGCUGUGGCAUGCCGUUAGGGAGUUCUGUGCGGCUGACCAGACGCAGAACCUUUCACAUAGGCGUAGGGUGUUUCUGGGAACACUGACGUGAAGACAGCCCAUAGCGGUCUUUACAGAUGGGCCCGAGGGUGGUGUGGACGGCCCGACAGGUGGGAAGGACCCCCGAAGAGUGUGAGGGGUGAGGUCGUGGCUCAGAUGGCCAGGUAGGUAAGAGACUCAGUGGUGUCAGCCGGGCCUACACACCCAGCACACAUGGAACCCUUGCUUGCCCCUGGCAGGGGCUUCUUCGAGCAGGGGAGUGCAUGGGAGCAGGGACCUGCUUUACUGGUCCUUGAAACUACUCCCAUGCCUCAUGGCACCAAUGGCUCUUGGCAGAUCUGUAUGCCUGGUAAGGACGGCUGAAUUCUCACGCAAUUGUGCCUGUAGUGGCCACACAGCAGAGGCCCAUGGGGGAAUGAAUGAAUGUCUCCGGCCUCUGCACACCCAAAAGAGAUGACAAGGAAACAGGUUCGGGGGAGUCCUGAGAAGAACCCCAGCCUGUGAAGAACCAGUACGGGCCUCCCCUCCGGGAUCUGACUAGCCAGCGCCCCUUUGCUCCGGGCCUGUAAGGUCUUAUUGCCACUCAGGAGCAUCCGUGCCAUGCAGGUGGCGCUGCCGAUUAGUCAUGGCCGGGGGAAGGGCUCAUCUGUCCUCAAACUAGAGAGGCUUUUCCUGUAGUUUCCAACCGCCUUCCGUGGCCUCGGCGCAGGUUUGCUAGACUGUGCUCCCUGCUGGGUGGGUCAGGGGCGGCCGUGCUCCUGUGCUUUGCGGUGAGAGAGGGCUCCGAACUGGGGGCAGGCUUGCUCUUCUCCGCGUGGCCUCUCUGGAGCACCGUUCUGGACACCGAAUGCAGUCGGUCUCACCGCUGAGGUUUCGGCAGUCACCAGCAGCCUUCCAGCGCCAGGAUAAGCCGGCUACGACCUCAAGCCACGCUGUAGGAUUCCAGGCCCAUCGCUGUUCACGCGUUCCUACGCUAAAGAAGCCACAGCCAGAACUUUCUCGAGCCUCGUGGGUUUCCGGAGUUCCGCCUCACCGGGGCCUCUGGCUUCUGCGCUGAGUCCUCGGUGUGACAGAGAUGCAGUUGUGUCUGCCGUUGAGGACUGUUUAUCGGGUCCUGCCGGCGUCCUGGCUGUGAAGGCCCCAGAGAGGCUCUCUUCUCCGUCACAACCCCGAGAAUGGUGGUUUCGCCCCGCUUUACCCUGCGCACUUGGCUGUGUAAAUGAGCAGCUUCUAGGCCCCUGGACAGCGAGUUCACGGGGUGAUGGGAUUGCGCUGUCAGACUCUUUAACUCCUGGUUUUCUUUUGUCCCUGCUUUUGAUUCAUGGCUUCUUGCCGGUGCCCCACAUUCCUCCAAGUCUCCUGCAAUCUAUUUCGGAGCAAGAGUCUGUGAACCGGGGCUGGAGACAUGUCUCAGAGGUUAAGAGCACUGGCUGCUCUUCCAGAGGUCCCGAGUUCAAUUCCCAGCAACCCAUGGUGCUCAUAACCAUCUAUAGUGAGAUCUGGUGCCCUGUUAUCGGGUACAGGCAGAAUGCUGUAUACAUAAUAAAUUAAUAAAAAAAUCUUUUAAGAAAUA